rnacentral:rRNA from 1 species
GACGAACGCUGGCGGCGUGCCUAAUACAUGCAAGUAGAACGCACAGUUUAUACCGUAGCUUGCUACACCAUAAACUGUGAGUUGCGAACGGGUGAGUAACGCGUAGGUAACCUGCCUGGUAGCGGGGGAUAACUAUUGGAAACGAUAGCUAAUACCGCAUAAUAUUGAUUAUUGCAUGAUGAUUGAUUGAAAGAUGCUAUUGCAUCACUACCAGAUGGACCUGCGUUGUAUUAGCUAGUAGGUGAGGUAACGGCUCACCUAGGCGACGAUACAUAGCCGACCUGAGAGGGUGAUCGGCCACACUGGGACUGAGACACGGCCCAGGCUCCUACGGGAGGCAGCAGUAGGGAAUCUUCGGCGAUGGACGGGAGUCUGACCGGGCGGCGCCGCGUGAGUGGAGAAGGUUUUCGGAUCGUAAAGCC